ACAGAUAUGUGACAAAGAAACACAAAAAAAAGGCUCUGUGUUGAAGGCCGUACAUUGACCUAUAAUGGUUUACUUUUAUAAAUUAUUAUUUGGAUGGAGAGUUGUCUCAUUGGCACUCACACCACAUCUUCCUAUAUCUAUAUAGCAAAGCACAUAGCAAUAAGGAAAGAAAACACACAAAUUUUAAUAUUGCACAAUAACACAAUGAC
rnacentral:lncRNA from 1 species